rnacentral:rRNA from 1 species
GUGCCAGCAGCCGCGGUAAUACGGAGGGGGUUAGCGUUGUUCGGAAUUACUGGGCGUAAAGCGCGCGUAGGCGGAUUAGAAAGUUGGGGGUGAAAUCCCGGGGCUCAACCCCGGAACUGCCUCCAAAACUACUAGUCUAGAGUUCGAGAGAGGUGAGUGGAAUUCCGAGUGUAGAGGUGAAAUUCGUAGGUAUUCGGAGGAACACCAGUGGCGAAGGCGGCUCACUGGCUCGUUACUGACGCUGAGGUGCGAAAGUGUGGGGAGCAAACAGGAUUAGAUACCCUGGUAGUCCACACCGUAAACGAUGAAUGCCAGUCGUCGGGGCGCUUGCGCUUCGGUGACACACCUAACGGAUUAAGCAUUCCGCCUGGGGAGUACGGUCGCAAGAUUAAAACUCAAAGGAAUUGACGGGG